UACCAGCUUCUACCUCCUCUCCUUCUACGUGAAAACCUCCUCUCCUUCUAUUGUUAAGUGUAUUAUUCUCGAAUAACAAAUCAACAAAGUGUGGUUUUAGGGUUUUAGGGUUUUGUAAUGGCGUUGAGACCGGAGCGAGUAGCACCACCAGAGAUAUUCUUCGACGAUACCGAAGCUCACAAGUACACUUCUUCUUCCCGUAUCAUCGAAUUCCCUUCUAUCUCUUUCUCUCUGAUAGGGGUCCUCUUCUGUUUUAAAACCACUGUACCGAAUUUCCUUCUUCACGACUCACUUCCCGGUAGCAACUUCCGCGAGAACGGAAUCCUCGAAGAAUAAUAUGAAUCCCUUUCUUCCAUCGAUGGAAACGAUUCCAACAAAUGCACCGAUUUCUACGAUAUCUAUUGUCCUGAGGCUGAAGCCGAAGUUUUUUUCAAGAUAGAUCAACUCUCAAUUCUGCUAAUAAACCUCUUAUUCACAAAGUGGUUAGGCUCUAUAUGCCAGGCCUGGAUGCAGCUUUGUACUUGUCAUUGUCCAGAUCGCUUCCUAAUUUAAAAAAUUUAAAAAAACCGUGUGGCAAACCAGGACCAGUCCUUGCUCUCAGGUCUGUUGAAACUUGAAAAUGCAUUCUGUUAUUUUUUUCCUUCAAAAUGUUGCGUCUCUGAAUUCAAUUUCUUUUUCAUUUGGUUAGAUGUAUAUCAGAUAAUAUGUAGACAAUAGAGUGAUAGACACACUAUUAACAUGUAGGCAGAAAAGAAAAAGGGAUCUAAAUGGUUCAGUUACACCGAAAUCUAAUUAGACAUCACAACAAGAAGAAGGUUGUAGUGCUACCCUCAAUUCACGGAGCUUACUAAAUACACACCUUUCCCUGUAUGAAACAUGUGACAUUUUCAGGGGACUGCAUCUGUUGUUCUUGCUAGAGUUGUAGCAGCCUUGAAGCUCAUCGGUGGCACUCAUUCCUCUUCCUUGAUGCUGGAGAAGUACGAUCAUAACUAACCUAGACAGGGUUAUGUUUUCAGGCGGGAACUGGUAUAGCUGAGCCAAUUGCUCUUGAGAUGUCAAAGCAGCAGACUAAAACACCUAAUGAAGAGAGUCGUAGGAAGAUAUGGCUUGUAGAUUCAAAGGGUUUAAUUGUUAGUUCACGGGCAAAUUCACUUCAACACUUCAAGAAGCCUUGGGCUCAUGAACACGAACCUGUUUGCACUCUCAUUGAGACUGUUAAGGUCUAUCGUCAUUUUGAUAUGAAACAAGGGAAGAUUACUCUUUUAGAGUCUAGAGUAGAACAAUUGUGUCAACAAUAGUUUAUGCCAUAUAACAAGGACCAGAAUGAAGACUUAUUGGAUUCCUUGCUACUUCAUUGAAGCUGCUUAAGUUACCUGUUCCACUGAUGUUGGCAAUAAAAUAUGACCGAGCUUUAUUUAUUGGAAAGUCACUUUUGGUCAUGAAGGAAUCACAUUUGACUUGAGAGUUAGGUAAUUUACACAGAUCCUAGCUCUCUAUCUUUUUAAUGUGCUAACUUAUCAAGAUCACGAAGAGUAUCAGAUGAUGGUUAGAGAUGAGCUUUGGGAGUAAUUAAUUAGAUUAUGAAUUUUAUUAUUUAUUAUGUAUUUUUGGCAUAAUGAUACUUAUUAUUAUAAGAUUAGGAUUUGAUAUAUUUUCGGUUUAUGGUACUACAUGACAUGAUUAUGGAACUCGCAUUUUACAUGA